GACGAACGCUGGCGGCGUGCUUAACACAUGCAAGUCGAACGGAAAGGCCCUGCUUUUGUGGGGUGCUCGAGUGGCGAACGGGUGAGUAACACGUGAGUAACCUGCCCUUGACUUUGGGAUAACUUCAGGAAACUGGGGCUAAUACCGGAUAGGAGCUCCUGCUGCAUGGUGGGGGUUGGAAAGUUUCGGCGGUUGGGGAUAGACUCGCGGCUUAUCAGCUUGUUGGUGGGGUAGUGGCUUACCAAGGCUUUGACGGGUAGCCGGCCUGAGAGGGUGACCGGCCACAUUGGGCCUGAGGUACGGCCCAGACUCGUACGGGAGGCAGCAGUGGGGAAUCUUGCACAAUGGGCGGAAGCCUGAUGCAGCGACGCCGCGUGCGGGAUGACGGCCUUCGGGUUGUAAACCGAUUUCGCAUGUGACGAAGCGUGAGUGACGGUAAUGGGUAAAGAAGCACCGGCUAACUACGUG
rnacentral:rRNA from 1 species